CAUAGUUUCGUGGGUAGAGACCAUAGAGAUAGAAAAUAUAGUCAAUUAGUUCUUAUAAGAACUCAUUGAUAGAGUGCUUACUUGAUGAAAAAAUUGAAUGGAGAAACAGCUGAUAAAUACAAACAACAUAAGGAUCAAAACAUUCAAAUAUUAUAUACAAAUAGCCGUUUCGUCUUACUUAAUAAAAUGUGACUUUAGGGGCCUAAUGGAUAAUGAGGGUACUCAACUUACUUCAAAUUAUUCUCUUAUCAAACUGGCAAGAGUAUCAUAAUUCCUCUCUAAAAGGAAUUAUGUAUACGAUUGAUAUUUGAAUUCACCUUGAAUUGAAUGAAGCCUAUAACAACACAAUGAAGAACAUUUUCAUAAUUGAUUUUUUCUCAUAAAUUCCUAAUAUUCUCGUUUGUUCUAGUACAACCUAAUUUCUAUAAAAAAUGUUUUAGAAUAUUUAAAAUAAAUAAACAUCUAGUCA
rnacentral:lncRNA from 1 species